rnacentral:rRNA from 1 species
UGUUUCGGCUAGGGGGUCAUCCCGACUUACCAACCCGAUGCAAACUACGAAUACCGAAGAAUGUUAUCACGGGAGACACACGGCGGGUGCUAACGUCCGUCGUGAAGAGGGAAACAACCCAGACCGCCAGCUAAGGUCCCAAAGUCAUGGUUAAGUGGGAAACGAUGUGGGAAGGCACAGACAGCCAGGAUGUUGGCUUAGAAGCAGCCAUCAUUUAAAGAAAGCGUAAUAGCUCACUGGUCGAGUCGGCCUGCGCGGAAGAUGUAACGGGGCUAAACCAUGCACCGAAGCUGCGGCAGCGACACUAUGUGUUGUUGGGUAGGGGAGCGUUCUGUAAGCCU